rnacentral:rRNA from 1 species
CUCAGGAUGAACGCUAGCUACAGGCUUAACACAUGCAAGUCGAGGGGCAGCAUUUUAGUUUGCUUGCAAACUGAAGAUGGCGACCGGCGCACGGGUGAGUAACACGUAUCCAACCUGCCGAUAACUCCGGAAUAGCCUUUCGAAAGAAAGAUUAAUACCGGAUAGCAUACGAAUAUCGCAUGAUAUUUUUAUUAAAGAAUUUCGGUUAUCGAUGGGGAUGCGUUCCAUUAGUUUGUUGGCGGGGUAACGGCCCACCAAGACAACGAUGGAUAGGGGUUCUGAGAGGAAGGUCCCCCACAUUGGAACUGAGACACGGUCCAAACUCCUACGGGAGGCAGCAGUGAGGAAUAUUGGUCAAUGGGCGAGAGCCUGAACCAGCCAAGUAGCGUGAAGGAUGAAGGCUCUAUGGGUCGUAAACUUCUUUUAUAUGGGAAUAAAGUUUUCCACGUGUGGAAUUUUGUAUGUACCAUAUGAAUAAGGAUCGGCUAACUCCGUGCCAGCAGCCGCGGUAAUACGGAGGAUCCGAGCGUUAUCCGGAUUUAUUGGGUUUAAAGGGAGCGUAGGUGGAUUGUUAAGUCAGUUGUGAAAGUUUGCGGCUCAACCGUAAAAUUGCAGUUGAAACUGGCAGUCUUGAGUACAGUAGAGGUGGGCGGAAUUCGUGGUGUAGCGGUGAAAUGCUUAGAUAUCACGAAGAACUCCGAUUGCGAAGGCAGCUCACUAGACUGUCACUGACACUGAUGCUCGAAAGUGUGGGUAUCAAACAGGAUUAGAUACCCUGGUAGUCCACACAGUAAACGAUGAAUACUCGCUGUUUGCGAUAUACAGUAAGCGGCCAAGCGAAAGCAUUAAGUAUUCCACCUGGGGAGUACGCCGGCAACGGUGAAACUCAAAGGAAUUGACGGGGGCCCGCACAAGCGGAGGAACAUGUGGUUUAAUUCGAUGAUACGCGAGGAACCUUACCCGGGCUUAAAUUGCAACAGAAUAUAUUGGAAACAGUAUAGCCGUAAGGCUGUUGUGAAGGUGCUGCAUGGUUGUCGUCAGCUCGUGCCGUGAGGUGUCGGCUUAAGUGCCAUAACGAGCGCAACCCUUAUCUUUAGUUACUAACAGGUGAUGCUGAGGACUCUAGAGAGACUGCCGUCGUAAGAUGUGAGGAAGGUGGGGAUGACGUCAAAUCAGCACGGCCCUUACGUCCGGGGCUACACACGUGUUACAAUGGGGGGUACAGAAGGCGGCUACCUGGUGACAGGAUGCUAAUCCCAAAAACCUCUCUCAGUUCGGAUCGAAGUCUGCAACCCGACUUCGUGAAGCUGGAUUCGCUAGUAAUCGCGCAUCAGCCAUGGCGCGGUGAAUACGUUCCCGGGCCUUGUACACACCGCCCGUCAAGCCAUGAAAGCCGGGGGUACCUGAAGUACGUAACCGCAAGGAGCGUCCUAGGGUAAAACUGGU